rnacentral:rRNA from 1 species
AGUAAUGCAUAGGAAUCUGCCCGGUAGUGGGGGAUAACCUGGGGAAACCCAGGCUAAUACCGCAUACGUCCUACGGGAGAAAGCAGGGGAUCUUCGGACCUUGCGCUAUCGGAUGAGCCUAUGUCGGAUUAGCUUGUUGGUGAGGUAAUGGCUCACCAAGGCGACGAUCCGUAGCUGGUCUGAGAGGAUGAUCAGCCACAUCGGGACUGAGACACGGCCCGAACUCCUACGGGAGGCAGCAGUGGGGAAUAUUGGACAAUGGGCGAAAGCCUGAUCCAGCCAUGCCGCGUGUGUGAAGAAGGCUUUCGGGUUGUAAAGCACUUUCAGUGAGGAAGAAGGCCUUGGGGCUAAUACCCCCGAGGAAGGACAUCACUCACAGCGGG